rnacentral:rRNA from 1 species
GACGAACGCUGGCGGCGUGCUUAACACAUGCCAGUCGAACGGAAAGGCCCUGCUUGCAGGGUACUCGAGUGGCGAACGGGUGAGUAACACGUGGGUGAUCUGCCCUGCACUUCGGGAUAAGCCUGGGAAACUGGGUCUAAUACCGGAUAGGAGCCAUUUUUAGUGUGAUGGUUGGAAAGUUUUUUCGGUGUAGGAUGAGCUCGCGGCCUAUCAGCUUGUUGUUGGGGUAAUGGCCUACCAAGGCGGCGACGGGUAGCCGGCCUGAGAGGGUGGACGGCCACAUUGGGACUGAGAUACGGCCCAGACUCCUACGGGAGGCAGCAGUGGGGAAUAUUGCACAAUGGGCGCAAGCCUGAUGCAGCGACGCCGCGUGGGGGAUGACGGCCUUCGGGUUGUAAACUCCUUUCGCUAGGGACGAAGCUUUUUGUGACGGUACCUAGAUAAGAAGCACCGGCUAACUACGUG